rnacentral:rRNA from 1 species
ACUCCUACGGGAGGCAGCAGUAGGGAAUCUUCCACAAUGGACGAAAGUACUGAUGGAGCAACGCCGCGUGAGUGAAGAAGGGUUUCGGCUCGUAAAACUACUGUUGUUAAAGAAGAACAUAUCUGAGAGUAACUGUUCAGGUAUUGACGGUAUUUAACCAGAAAGCCACGGCUAACUACGUGCCAGCAGCCGCGGUAAUACGUAGGUGGCAAGCGUUGUCCGGAUUUAUUGGGCGUAAAGCGAGCGCAGGCGGUUUUUAAGUCUGAUGUGAAAGCCUUCGGCUCAACCGAAGAAAGUGCAUCGGAAACUGGGAAACUUGAGUGCAGAAGAGGACAGUGGAACUCCAUGUGUAGCGGUGAAAUGCGUAGAUAUAUGGAAGAACACCAGUGGCGAAGGCGGCUGUCUGGUCUGUAACUGACGCUGAGGCUCGAAAGUAUGGGUAGCAAACAGGAUUAGAUACCCUGGUAGGAUAGCG